rnacentral:snRNA from 1 species
UCCAAUCAAACGCUAUGU